rnacentral:rRNA from 1 species
UACGUAGGGACCAAGCGUUGUUCGGAUUUACUGGGCGUAAAGGGCGCGUAGGCGGCGUGUUAAGUCAGCUGUGAAAUCUCCAAGCUUAACUUGGAACGGUCAGCUGAUACUGAUGUGCUAGAGUGCAGAAGGGGCAGUCGGAAUUCUUGGUGUAGCGGUGAAAUGCGUAGAUAUCAAGAGGAACACCUGAGGUGAAGACGGGUUGCUGGGCUGACACUGACGCUGAGGCGCGAAAGCUAGGGUAGCAAACGGG